rnacentral:rRNA from 1 species
AUACGUAGGUGGCAAGCGUUGUCCGGAUUUAUUGGGCGUAAAGCGAGCGCAGGCGGUUUCUUAAGUCUGAUGUGAAAGCCCCCGGCUCAACCGGGGAGGGUCAUUGGAAACUGGGAGGCUUGAGUGCAGAAGAGGAGAGUGGAAUUCCAUGUGUAGCGGUGAAAUGCGUAGAUAUAUGGAGGAACACCAGUGGCGAAGGCGACUCUCUGGUCUGUAACGGACGCUGAGGCUCGAAAGCGUGGGGAGCAAACAGGAUUAGAUACCCGGGUAGUCCACGCCGUAAACGAUGAGUGCUAAGUGUUGGAGGGUUUCCGCCCUUCAGUGCUGCAGCUAACGCAUUAAGCACUCCGCCUGGGGAGUACGACCGCAAGGUUGAAACUCAAAUGAAUUGACGGGG